UACGUAGGGGGCAAGCGUUGUCCGGAAUUAUUGGGCGUAAAGAGCGUGUAGGCGGCCAGGUAGGUCUGCUGUGAAAACUCGAGGCUUAACCUCGAGAUGUCGGCGGAAACCAUCUGGCUAGAGUCCGGAAGAGGAGAAUGGAAUUCCCGGUGUAGCGGUGAAAUGCGCAGAUAUCGGGAAGAACACCCGUGGCGAAGGCGGUUCUCUGGGACGGUACUGACGCUGAGACGCGAAAGCGUGGGGAGCGAACAGG
rnacentral:rRNA from 1 species